GUGUGUGUGUGUGUGUGUGUGUGUGUGUGUGUGCAAUGCAGACCUAUGCCUUACUGUAAAUGUUUCAUAAUCUGUACAAGCUUCUUUUGAAGUGAUCUAAAUUGGAUUUUGAAAGGAAUUAAAGAGUAAGAUAAACCAGUGCCCAAAAGUUUUGCUUCCCACCUGCAAUAUUGGCAGGAAAGAUUUACAAGGGGAUUUGACCUCCUUAACUAUUUCUUUUUGUCCCCUGCCCCAGUGAAAGAGCUACUUCUGCCUCAGCUAAAUUGCGGAAGACACUUUGACUGCACUCUGACUUCUAGCUAAAGAGGUAGGGAGCUCUGCUCUUGUAGUCGGAGAGCAGCAGUCAGUUCUGUGGGAUGCCCUCCUGCUGAAGGAUGGAUAUGUAAAAUUCUGUUGAAUGAUAGGAAAUGCCCCCGAAGAUUCCAGGCCAGUGAUACCAGCAUCACUUGGAGACGUGUUUGAAAUGGACAUUUGCAGGACAGCCUUUCUUGUCACAUUAGAGUUCAGGAGGAACCGAACCAAAAUGAACUUCCAGUACAUGGCCUCCAUACUAGAGACUUGAAUCAUCUGGAGACGGGCCAAGAAGUCAGUAUUUUUCAACCCUUUCUAGAGCUUGUGAGCACCUCACACCCCCUCGAGACAACCCUCAGAUGCUCUGUGAGGAGCCGUGCAUCCAUCACCUCAGGCUGCUGAAAAGCUGGCUACAGGCUGGGUGACUCGUAACUCAAGCAAUAAUUGGCUCUGACAGACGCUCUUAGACGGGCUCAGCUGCCUGGAGGAGUCACAUAUCAACAGACCUGGCCCGCUACUCUCCGAAAUCUGUAGCGCUGCUUGCAAGUUGUAUAGUGAUCUCCAGGUUUCUAGUAUUCAGGAGCCGUGGUGGGUUUCCCCAAGCUAGGAUAGGCUUUUAUUGAUAUGGCUGUCUCUCAGUCAGCUCCAUGUAAACCCUCAUUCAUACUCCUGUAGGUAAACCCAAUAACUCAGUGAUUCAGCAAAUUGGACUUUGGUGGCAUCAUUACUUUGGUCUGUCAUUGCGUCCUAUUUAGCUUUAGUCCAUGUUUGUCCUUAUUGCCCCAGGAAGCGUAUCAUACGGCGUCACAGCAUAAUGGUCCUUCAUCUGAAAUUGUUGCUUCUGAGUUUCCAUCGUGGAAUAAAAUAGGCACAGGCAUUCAUGCAAACAUCUUGAAAAUUAGCUGAGUUUUCCCUCUGGAUAGAAGCAUGUCUUCUUAGCUCUCUGGAGUAUAGUGAGCACCAUCACUUACUAAAAUAUUUCCUUUAUUGAAAUAUUUAGUCACAUUUUUUCAUUGUGUGUGUGUGUGUGUGUGUGUGUGUGUGUGUGUGUGUGUAUGUGUGUGUGCAUCCCAUAGAACAACUUGUGGGAGUCAGUACACUCCUUCCACCAUGUUGACCACUCCUGGGAUUAAGGUCAGGUGAUUAAAUUUUGGGUCAGGGUGUGCAGACCCUGCCUGGAACACUGUUUUUCUUUUUCU